GCCUGGAUAGCUCAGCCGGUAGAGCAUCAGAAUUUUAAUCUGAGGGUCCAGGGUUCAAGUCCCUGUUCAGGCG
rnacentral:tRNA from 1 species